AGAGCGAACGCUGGCGGCAGGCUUAACACAUGCAAGUCGAGCGGGCGUAGCAAUACGUCAGCGGCAGACGGGUGAGUAACGCGUGGGAACGUACCUUUUGGUUCGGAACAACACAGGGAAACUUGUGCUAAUACCGGAUAAGCCCUUACGGGGAAAGAUUUAUCGCCGAAAGAUCGGCCCGCGUCUGAUUAGCUAGUUGGUGGGGUAACGCUCACCAAGGCGACGAUCAGUAGCUGGUCUGAGAGGAUGAUCAGCCACAUUGGGACUGAGACACGGCCCAAACUCCUACGGGAGGCAGCAGUGGGGAAUAUUGGACAAUGGGCGCAAGCCUGAUCCAGCCAUGCCGCGUGAGUGAUGAAGGCCCUAGGGUUGUAAAGCUCUUUUGUGCGGGAAGAUAAUGACGGUACCGCAAGAAUAAGCCCCGGCUAACUUCGUGCCAGCAGCCGC
rnacentral:rRNA from 1 species